rnacentral:rRNA from 1 species
AAACUUAAAGGAAGUUGACGGGGGCCCGCGACAAGCGGUGGAGCAUGUGGUUUAAUUCGACGCAACGCGAAGAACCUUACCUAGGUUUGACAUCCCGGGGAGUCUUUUGAAAGAGAGAUGUGCCUUUCGGGAGCCCGGAGACAGGUGCUGCAUGGCUGUCGUCAGCUCGUGUCGUGAGAUGUUGGGUUAAGUCCCGCAACGAGCGCAACCCUUAUCAUUAGUUGCUACGCAAGGGCACUCUAAUGAGACUGCCGGUGACAAACCGGAGGAAGGUGGGGAUGACGUCAAGUCCUCAUGGCCCUUAUGGGUAGGGCUUCACACGUCAUACAAUGGUCGGUACAGAGGGUUGCCAAGCCGCGAGGCGGAGCCAAUCCCACAAAGCCGAUCGUAGUCCGGAUUGUUCUCUGCAACUCGAGAGCAUGAAGUCGGAAUCGCUAGUAAUCGCAGGUCAGCAUACUGCGGUGAAUACGUCCCCGGGUCUU